rnacentral:lncRNA from 1 species
AUGUUCCAUUGUGUAAUAGGAUCACGUUCUUCCUCCUCUUUUGACACAACAUAUGAAGAGGGGCACCUUAGAGAAGUUUCAUGCUCAAGUGGCCUUUUCUCCCCCCCUACAUGCCUCAGAGAGUCUUCACAAGGGCGUACUCAUGGGAAGGCUGGACACAUUCAUCAGAAGGGAGUUUAUUUCUGCUUGAAGAAGACCUGCCCAGGACUGGAUAUGCCUACAACUUCACAAUAUUCUUAUUUUGAACUUUUAUGAAUUUCCCUGACUGGUUGUCUUAUUGGCCCCCAGGGAGAUACAGAACAUUUAAAAGUUCUUUCACGUCUUCUGGAUUCAGCCAUUUAAUUGAAGAGAUAGGCCUGAUCGAAGAUGUGUUCCCAAAUACAUCUCAUCAACCUCAUUUAUAAAUUACCUUUUACAUUGGAUUAAUAAAAUGCUGUAAAAUCUCA